rnacentral:rRNA from 1 species
GAUCCUCGGGGCGCAGCAGUGGGGAAUAUUGGGCAAUGGACGCAAGUCUGACCCAGCAACGCCGCGUGAAGGAAGAAGGCUUUCGGGUUGUAAACUUCUUUUAAGGGGGAAGAGCAGAAGACGGUACCCCUUGAAUAAGCCACGGCUAACUACGUGCCAGCAGCCGCGGUAAUACGUAGGUGGCAAGCGUUGUCCGGAUUUAUUGGGUUUAAAGGGUGCGCAGGCGGCGAGUUAAGUCAGCGGUAAAAUUUCGGGGCUCAACCCCGACGAGCCGUUGAAACUGGCUUGCUAGAGUGGGCGAGAAG